CAAAUGCUGAGACUUAGCAUUGCAAAGACUGUGUAGGAUGCAGCUGGGAUUGUGAAGUUUCCUAGCCGCCUGUUUGAUUGAAGGGCUUGAAAUACUGCAUAAGUUUGUUGUUGGGAUUGAGCAACAAAGUAUAGAACUCCUGCUAACCAUAUUGGUAGCACUCUCACCAAACAUUUCACUUCUUCCACUUGUUGCAUACUGCAAAGUCUCCAUGGAUCUACUGCUGAUCCAUCCUCCUUUAUUUGGUCUUCUGCUGUUAUGAUUGCUGCUUUGUCCAGAAAUCUGAACUGAUCUGAAUAGGAAAGUUUGGAGUUAAUGGAGCCUGGAGGUGUGUAGUCAAAGAGAGAAAGCCAUGGUUGAUCUGGUUGCUUGAGUUUUCUUUUCUUAAUAGCAACCACUAGAACUUGUG
rnacentral:misc_RNA from 1 species